UAGAGUUUGAUCCUGGCUCAGAUUGAACGCUGGCGGCAUGCCUUACACAUGCAAGUCGAACGGUAACGCGGGGCAACCUGGCGACGAGUGGCGAACGGGUGAGUAAUAUAUCGGAACGUGCCCAGUAGUGGGGGAUAGCCCGGCGAAAGCCGGAUUAAUACCGCAUGAGACCUGAGGGUGAAAGCGGGGGAUCGCAAGACCUCGCGCUAUUGGAGCGGCCGAUAUCAGAUUAGCUAGUUGGUGGGGUAAAGGCCUACCAAGGCAACGAUCUGUAGUUGGUCUGAGAGGACGACCAGCCACACUGGGACUGAGACACGGCCCAGACUCCUACGGGAAGCAGCAGUGGGGAAUUUUGGACAAUGGGCGCAAGCCUGAUCCAGCAAUGCCGCGUGCAGGAAGAAGGCCUUCGGGUUGUAAACUGCUUUUGUCAGGGAAGAAAUCCUCUGGGUUAAUACCUCGGGGGGAUGACGGUACCUGAAGAAUAAGCACCGGCUAACUACGUGCCAGCAGCCGCGGUAAUACGUAGGGUGCGAGCGUUAAUCGGAAUUACUGGGCGUAAAGCGUGCGCAGGCGGCUUUGCAAGACAGAUGUGAAAUCCCCGGGCUCAACCUGGGAACUGCAUUUGUGACUGCAAGGCUAGAGUGCGGCAGAGGGGGAUGGAAUUCCGCGUGUAGCAGUGAAAUGCGUAGAUAUGCGGAGGAACACCGAUGGCGAAGGCAAUCCCCUGGGCCUGUACUGACGCUCAUGCACGAAAG
rnacentral:rRNA from 1 species